ensembl:lncRNA
CCUGGCCAUACUGUCCUUAGCUGUGGCCUUUGGGGAACACAUUUAACCUUUCCCGGCCUCAAUUUCCCCAUCUGUAACACGAGGGGAUUGGGCUAAAUGAUUGCUAAGGUCCCUUCCAGCUCCGACCUCCUCUGACCAAAUGAGAUAAUGUGUGAAAACACUUUGUGAACGCUAAAGCCGGACGAAUGCCAGGGAUUUUUAUUACGAUUCUAAUGAAUCCUCUUUUCUCCACAUGGAUCUCGGCUGUUUAGCGCCAGCAAGCAGGCUAAAGAGGGCCAAAAGCGAGAAAGCUUAGCGGAGAUGGAAAAGCUCUGUGGUGUGGACAGAAAAACCCCUGCAUCUCCAGAGACAUUCUCUCUCUGUGUCCCCCACCCCCACCCCAGGCCUGGUGGGAAGGGGUGGGGAAGAGGAGGCGGCCGUGCUAGAAAGGAAAGAGCAAGGUGUAGCUGAUUAGCAAGUUAAUUAUUUCAGUACCCCAAGGGUUCCAGUGUGGUGGAGACAGUCCGUGGCACCGGGCUCUGGAGAGACGACUUCCUGACUUCAGCGGUGUGAAGAUGGUACAAUACUUUUUGGUGCUGACAUUCAGCUGUCCCCCAGGCAGGUUCGCUGAUAUCCCUGCUGGUGGAGAGGGGCUGGGGGCUGUCUGGAAAUAUAGCUCUGCUGACAGGGUGGCAGAGGAUUUGGGGUCCAAUCGCUGUUCAAAUUAGACUUGGCAGUCUUUACCUCGGAGGCCUCAGGAGUCUCAGGGGUCUCAGUAGGAGAGAAGUUACAGAAACUUAGAACACAGGAAGGCAGAUGUCGGGGGCUCCUUGUCUCAGUCCUUGUACUGCCAUGCUAAAGCAAAGCCCAGGGAUAGUAGAAAGAGAUCCCAGAGAGCAGGGCUGUGAGGUUCCAGGUGGGAUCUUGGCCCUGGCUCCUGGGAGAUUAAGAAUUCCUCUGCAAGUUUUGGAAAGUCCUACAAGAGCCAUUUAUUCAUAAUCUUUGGGCAGUAAAUGCGACCUCUUUUCACUGCUCAGUGGCUGGUAGGGGAGCAUUUCCAGCUUGUCUGGCCCUCAUUUGGGAGUCUAUCAUUUUCUUGCUCAUGUUCCAGUUUGGACUUAUAGAUGAAAACCCCAAACUUCCCAGCGCUUGUGUUUUUCUUUUCUCUCAGGCCAUUCAUAAUCUAGCCAACAUUGUAGGCCAUUGGCCCACACACAUUUUGAAAGGUGAGCCAGCAGGCCUGUUCCUGUGUGCAAGGUCGUUUUCAUCCGGGCUCAAGGGAGGAUAUAGUUUCCCCUUAAAGGAGAGAAGCAGGAAACGAUUUCUAUGAAUCUUUUAACGAAGGAUUUACUACUAAUUUGAUAAGUUCAAUGCUCUUUUUACUCAUUCUGAGUGAAUAACGUUGUCAGUCAACCCAAGCGGCUGCCGAACCUAUAAAAAUGUGUCCUUUGGUCUCCCUGUUUAACACAUGCAGGGGCUUGGCCCUGCCUCUGACAGACGGGAGGAGUAGAAACAUUCCAGAGAUCAGGUCUCAGAGUGUUAUCUCUUCCUCCAUCCCAAAUCCUCACCCUCCAUUUUAUCUUUCUUUGCUACAAAUGCAGAGACCUCCUAGGGAAGUGUGAAAGGAUGGGUUUUAAUCAGGUUUAGAGAAGGAAGGGGAAUAAGUUGAACCCAAAGAAAGAUGGGGACAGUUGGAAUUUUUUGAUGAUGCUUUGUUAUACCUCUCAUGUGUUGUAUAUUAUAUCCUACAAAUUAUGCAUUUAUUGCAAGAAUCUACAGUGUAUAUGCGGCAUUUGCCAAAUGCUGCUUGGCCAAAACAGUGUUAAAUAAAAUUGUAAGAAAUGCG